GUGGUCUGUCGGUGGUCUUGUGGUGGGACUGUGAGAUGACAUGAUUUGACUAAAAAUGUAGGAUCUACUGUACAGUCACAGUACAUAUAUGUAUAGUCAUGAACAUGUAUUUUUCUGUUUAUUCUGACAAUGAUCUUAUUGCUAUUAUUAGAAUUUUAUUAGAAUUUUAUUUUCCAUUUAUUUUUUGGCAUCUGCUUUUGGUUUUUGGUUUCCAGAGAUCUGCUAGUUUUUGGUUUCCAGAGAUCUGAAAGUGAACAAAAGGGAACGAAAAAUUGAAAAAAGAAAGAAAGAAAGCGUAAUGGCAUUCAGUUCCUGUCUGUACCUCCCCCUGAAAGACGACGUAGGUUUUAUUCUAAACAGCAUGUUAGUGCAAGGCAUAAAUCAGCAGGAACGGAAAGACGUUUGCAUCUCCGGUGGCUGCCUGCGUUCACUUCUGCAGCAUGAAGCGUGACCUCAAGAAGAAACUCGUACUGUUCUCGUUCAUGUUCUACUUGACUCUUAACGUGGAAUCAACACAUGAAGUUAAUGGCACGUCGGAAGAAAACAUCACUGUUCAAUUCACUUUUCAAGAUUAUGUUAUAAACUCCAAACCUAGUCUGUACAAAAACGGGAAGAAGAUAAUGCAGAAAACCCUCCAGUUCACAACAACACAACACAACAGGGGCAGUGUGGGACAUCCGGGGCUGUGUUUGUCAGCUGUGUGGAGUAUGGAGAGUUAG
ensembl:lncRNA